GACGAACGCUGGCGGCGUGCCUAACACAUGCAAGUCGAGCGGAGAUGAUGUGAGGAAGUUUUCGGAUGGAAUCACAUUAUUUUAGCGGCGGACGGGUGAGUAACGCGUGAGCGACCAACCUUGCACAGGGGGAUAACGGACCGAAAGGUUCACUAAUACCGCAUGAGACCACGGUGUUGCAUGACACAGAGGUCAAAGGAGCAAUCCGGUGCAAGACGGGCUCGCGUCCGAUUAGGUAGUUGGAGGGGUAACGGCCCACCAAGCCUAUGAUCGGUAGCCGACCUGAGAGGGUGAUCGGCCACAUUGGAACUGAGAUACGGUCCAAACUCCUACGGGAGGCAGCAGUGGGGAAUAUUGGGCAAUGGGGGAAACCCUGACCCAGUAACGCCGCGUGAAGGAAGAAGGUUUUCGGAUUGUAAACCUCUGUCCUUGGUGAAGAGAAGAAGACGGUAGCCAAGGAGGAAGCCCCGGCUAACUACGUGCCAGCAGCCGCGGUAA
rnacentral:rRNA from 1 species